rnacentral:rRNA from 1 species
UACGGGGGGGGCAAGCGUUGUUCGGAAUUACUGGGCGUAAAGCGUGCGCAGGCGGUUCGCCAAGGCAGGUGUGAAAUCCCCGGGCUUAACCUGGGAAUUGCGCUUGAAACUAGCGGGCUUGAGUGUGGCAGAGGGGGGUGGAAUUCCACGUGUAGCAGUGAAAUGCGUAGAGAUGUGGAGGAACACCGAUGGCGAAGGCAGCCCCCUGGGUCAACACUGACGCUCAUGCACGAAAGCGUGGGGAGCAAACAGG